rnacentral:lncRNA from 12 species
CAUCACCUUACAUAAUUUCCCUUGUGCUGCUCUGUUCUAUGGAUGGCCAUCCCAGUAGGAUGUUAAGUGAUUUUAGAAGUAUCUUUAAAGUAUCAGCCAUGUUGCUCUGGACACUCCAGCCACGCAGGAGUUUUGGAAUUCCUUCAAUCUACCUUUCUGUUGCAGAGCUGUUUCAUGCCUCUGGUUGACUCUUCCUCACAAACUAGACCUUCCUAAUCCCUAUUCACCCUUCAGGUUUAAAGUGACCGUAUCCUACUCUCAGGGCUGCUGCUCUAGUCCCUGGGGGAAGAGGCCGGACACAAGCUCAGUACACAGGAGGGAAGGACAGGUUUGCAAAGAUGGGCAGAACCAAGCGUCAGGUGCGUACAGGAUGGGGACUCACAGAAAACAUGUAAGAAAGGUGGCGGAGAUGCCUAGGGCAAGGGGGCUCUGAACCCCGGGGCCCAGGACAGGGAUCACGUGAGGCUCAGACUCCAUGGGGAGGGACCAGAACAGGCAAAGGUCUCCCAGAUCUUAGAAGCCCAAACUCACCAGCCACUGUAGUCUUUUCAACUGAGCACGUAACUGGGGGGUAUGAACCCUCACAGGAGUUAGGGUAGAGAGAAAGAGGAAAGGACUAG